rnacentral:rRNA from 1 species
CCUACGGGAGGCAGCAGUGGGGAAUUUUGGACAAUGGGGGCAACCCUGAUCCAGCCAUGCCGCGUGCAGGAAGAAGGCCUUCGGGUUGUAAACUGCUUUCGGACAGAAAGAAAUCGUUACCGCUAAUACCGGUGAUGGAUGACGGUACUGUAAGAAGAAGCACCGGCUAACUACGUGCCAGCAGCCGCGGUAAUACGUAGGGUGCGAGCGUUAAUCGGAAUUACUGGGCGUAAAGCGUGCGCAGGCGGAUUGUUAAGCAAGAUGUGAAAUCCCCGGGCUUAACCUGGGAAUGGCAUUUUGAACUGGCAGUCUAGAGUGCGUCAGAGGGGGGUGGAAUUCCACGUGUAGCAGUGAAAUGCGUAGAGAUGUGGAGGAACACCGAUGGCGAAGGCAGCCCCCUGGGAUGACACUGACGCUCAUGCACGAAAGCGUGGGGAGCAAACAGGAUUAGAUACCCUGGUAGUCCACGCCCUAAACGAUGUCAACUGGUUGUUGGGUGCGCAAGUACUUAGUAACGAAGCUAACGCGUGAA